UUCCCUGAAAUUCAACAUGCAUCCAGCAAUUCGGUCUCAUCCCUCAUGGGACCCCAACGUCCACUUGUUCUACUAAUUGGAAGGAGGAAUAGAAGCGGUGGCGAGGAACGAUGGCGUCCGAAAUUUCUACUUGAUGCAUGGUGCUGAAAAUGAAGCUAGAACACUAGAUAACCUUUAAAAACUUGCUCCGCUCUCUCUUCUCUUCUCUUUUGACCCAUUGGAAUCUUCAUGUAGUGAUGUUUUAGUGCUUCUCAAUUCUGGACAGAAGUGGGAAUUUAGAAAGUGCGAACAUUCAUUGUUGGAAGGUAAGCUUCACAAUUGGGAUUUUCAGAUUGUGGGUUUUAUUGGAGAGUUGAAUCAAGCCAUUUUUCAGCAUAGCGGUAAAAUCCUUCCCACCAUUCUGGCGUCAUUUUGAGUUCUGAGUUGCAUAUAUAAGGAUCAGUUUGGUUGUUAGCCGCAAUAUAGCAGCAAUUGAAGCUAGGAUACAAGGGAUGAAGAAAACGUGUUAAAGCAUUCAAAUUGCAGUGACUGUUGGAAGCAUGGUAAUGUGGUAAUUGGAGGCAGUAAUAUUGAGUUAUGUGCAAGUAACAGCUUUAAUUGGUGAAAGAGUAAAGGAAAAAAGGAAGAAACUUGAGGAAAAUGGCACCAAGAAGGCGAAGUCAAUCUAGCAAAUCAACUAGAAACUCAUCUGAUAGGAGUUUGAUUAAUGCUAUUGAAGGAAUGGCUGUUGCAAUGCGAGAGCAAGCAGAAGCAACGGCUACUGCCAGCAGAGAACAAACUACCGCUACUGCACGUUUGGUCUAGAUGUUUCAGGACCCAAAGAUGAGGAUUCAAAUCCUGUUGAGAAUCAAGAAGGGGAUCUAGAAGAACAGUUGCCUACUAAUGAAACAUAUAAUGCACCAAAUUCUAUGCAAAACCAAAAUUUCUAUGGUUUGGUUGAAUUUAGGAAGGCUAAGCCACCAUCUUUUCAAGGAGGGUACAAUCCUGAUGUUGCAGAUGAGUUAUUGGAGCACAUGGAGAAAAUUUUUGAGUUUAUGGGAUGUUUUGAUACCUAGAAGGUAUCUUUUGCAACUUAUAUGUUGGUUGGAGAAGCAUACAAUUUGUGGAAGGAGACUAAACGGACAAUGGAAGCUCAUGAAGUGGAAAUCACUUGGGAAGGAUUUAAGAUGUCUUUUCUUGACAAGUAUUUUUUGGAGAACGUGAAACAUGAGAAAGAAAUUGAAUUUUUGCAUCUGGUUCAAGGGAUGAUGACCGUGGAUCAAUAUGUUGCCAAGUUUGAGAUGCUGUCAAAGUACUCAUCUUUCUUACAUACUAAUCCUGCCAAGUCAUAGAAGGCUAGGGAGUUUGAAGUAGGAUUGAGAUUUGAUAUUCAAAGAGCAAUGAUUGCAAUGGAGAUACAAGAUUUUACUAUACUAGUGAAUAAGUGUAGAGUUGUGGAGAAGCAGUUGAUGGAGGUUGAAUGGGAUAAGCAAAGGAAGAAUUUUUGGAACAAACGCAAAAUGGGCAACCUUCAGAAAAAGAACUUCAAACCCUUAAUCAAUUACAAGAAAAGUAGGACUUUAACCCCUUAUAGCAAAUGUGGUAAAUCACACAAGAAUCAACAUUGCUACCUUAGUCAAAAUGUUUGCUACAAAUGUGGGAAGGCUGGCCAUUAUAUGAAGCAAUGUCCAAAGAAUAAGGGUAAGGCACUUGAGGGGAAGAAUUCUAUUCAAAGGCCAAUGACAAAAGGGAGGGUCUUUACUAUGAGUGGAAAGGAAGCAAAGAAAUCCACGAACCUGGUACAAGGUGCUGAUACUCUGGAUCGUUUUCAAGGUUGAUUGUCUACUCUGCCAUCAUCAUGUGGGGUUUUUAUGCGAAUAAGUUUGGGAUUGUGAUUUUGGAUGUAACAUAAUUCUAAUCCUUCAUGCACCAUAACCCCAAGGUGUAAGACAAUUAUGUAAUGUGUUAUUUUGAUGUCAUAUGUAUAAACUGUAGAACUCUGACAGACA